GGAAGUAAAAGUCGUAACAAGGUCUCCGUUGGUGAACCAGCGGAGGGAUCAUUGCUGGAACGCGCCCCAGGCGCACCCAGAAACCCUUUGUGAACUCAUACCUUACUGUUGCCUCGGCGCAGGCCGGCCCCCUCGGGGGCCCCCCGGAGACGGGGAGCAGGCCCGCCGGCGGCCAAGUCAACUCUUGUUUUUACACUGAAACUCUGAGGACAAAUAAUAAAUGAAUCAAAACUUUCAACAACGGAUCUCUUGGUUCUGGCAUCGAUGAAGAACGCAGCGAAAUGCGAUAAGUAAUGUGAAUUGCAGAAUUCAGUGAAUCAUCGAAUCUUUGAACGCACAUUGCGCCCUCUGGUAUUCCGGAGGGCAUGCCUGUUCGAGCGUCAUUUCAACCCUCAAGCCUGGCUUGGUGAUGGGGCACUGCUCUCUCACGGGAGCAGGCCCUGAAAUCCAGUGGCGAGCUCGCCAGGACCCCGAGCGCAGUAGUUAAACCCUCGCUCUGGAAGGCCCUGGCGGUGCCCUGCCGUUAAACCCCCAACUCUUGAAAAUUUGACCUCGGAUCAGGUAGGAAUACCCGCUGAACUUAAGCAUAUCAAUAAGCGGAGGA
rnacentral:rRNA from 1 species